rnacentral:rRNA from 1 species
GAGCCCGCACAAGCAGUGGAGUAUGUGGUUUAAUUCGACGCAACGCGAAGAACCUUACCAGAGCUUGACAUCCCAGAAAAGGGCUUGUAAUGAGCUAAUGCCCUUCGGGGAAUCUGGAGACAGGUGGUGCAUGGUUGUCGUCAGCUCGUGUCGUGAGAUGUUGGGUUAAGUCCCGCAACGAGCGCAACCCUUACGGUUAGUUGCUAACGCGCCUUCGGGCGGCGAGCACUUUAGCCGGACUGCCGUUGACAAAACGGAGGAAGGUGGGGACGACGUCAAAUCAUCAUGCCCCUUACGCCCUGGGCUACACACGUACUACAAUGGCGCAAACAAAGGGAAGCGAUACCGCGAGGUGGAGCAAACCCCAUAAAAGGCGUCCCAGUUCGGACUGCAGGCUGCAACCCGCCUGCACGAAGUUGGAAUUGCUAGUAAUCGCGGAUCAGCAUGCCGCGGUGAAUACGUUCCCGGGCUUU